CAGUCGCCACGGGAAUACGGAGGGGGCUAGCGUUGUUCGGAAUUACUGGGCGUAAAGCGCACGUAGGCGGCUUGGUAAGUUAGAGGUGAAAGCCUGGAGCUCAACUCCAGAAUUGCCUUUAAGACUGCCGAGCUAGCAGGUGAGAGAGGUAAGUGGAAUUCCGAGUGUAGAGGUGAAAUUCGUAGAUAUUCGCAGGAACACCAGUGGCGAAGGCGGCUUACUGGUCCACAACUGACGCUGAGGUGCGAAAGCGUGGGGGGCAAACAGGAUUAGAGACCCCCGUAGUCCCUGUCUCUUAUAC
rnacentral:rRNA from 1 species